rnacentral:misc_RNA from 1 species
AAGACUAUAGACCUGCGGAGUACCUGCGGAGGGAUCAUUAACGUUGGGGACUAACAAUCCCUCAGCGAGAUAGAACCCUUGCCUUUUCGAGUACCACACGUUUCCUCGGCAGGUACGCCUGCCAAUGGGGACCACAACAAAACCUUUUGUAAUAGCAGUAAACGUCUUAAAAACAAAACUUCUAAAACUUUCAACAACGGAUCUCU